rnacentral:misc_RNA from 1 species
CUGUGUAGGGUUGUAUAGGGCUAUAUAGGAGCGUAUAGUACUGUAUAGCGGUGUAUAGUACUGUAUGAGGAUGUAUAGUGCUGGUUAGGGGUGUAUUGGUCGGAUAAUAUACUUUGUGCUGAUACAUGAAGUUGACCCUCACUAGAUGUUAUUUAGAUUUCUCCGUGAGGCCGCACAGAUAAUAACAAAGUCCCAGGCUUCCCUCCUCCUGCUCCGCACCAUUUUGUCACAAGCGUGCAAAUGGCAGAAAGCCGAGAAGAAGAACACGAGGAGAUGGAUGCUCCAGAAGUUAUCGACAGGUUGGAGGAUCUCGCCCUGUCUGGAAGAGAAGGAUAUGUUCCCAAUAGAUACACCGUACCUUUGCGUCAGGGCAUUGAUAUCAAUGACUUGGUACAAGGAGACGGUACCAUGUUUGAGACGGAUCUUGAUAGCAUGGCCGCUUUUGAAGAUGAAGAAGGAUCACAAUAUUUUGAUUCUGAGGAUGUCUUCCAGCAGCUAAAUUAUGAGUGUAAUGACUUUGGAGAUGACUCUGGAUCAGAUAGAGAUGACGAUGUGACACCUUUCAGGCGGCUGGCUCGUAGGAUGGAGGAUUUAACAGGAGACAGAGGAGUUCUCAAGCAAAUAGUUCGACAAGGAACAGGACCUGUUGUACCUCAAGGAGCUACUGUUAGAUAUCACUAUAAUGGCUAUCUUGAAUUUAAUGAUGAGCCAUUUGACUCUUCAAGAUUACGAGGCAGGCCAGAUGUGGGAAAACUGGAGGAGUUGCUUCCAGGGUGGUAUAUUGGUGUGAGCACAAUGAGAAGAGGAGAAAAAUCCAAAUUUCUUCUCUCUCCAGAGUACGCUUUUAAAGAUUUGGGUUCACCUCCACGAGUACCUCCAUCAGCUACUGUGCUUUUUGAAGUGGAGUUACUGAGCUAUAUUGACCACAAAGCUGCUGAUGACUAUGAUGCAUUUACAGAAGAAGAAAGAAAACAGGCAACGUUUGAACAACUUUUAAAAGUGGCCAAUGCAGAGAGGGAGGCUGGAAAUGAUUUUUACAAGCGCAAACAAGUCUCUCGUGCAGUGAGCAAAUAUAUAAAGGCUAUUAAGAUACUGGAAAACAGCAACCUUCAGAAUGCUGACCAGGAGAGAUGGAUGAAUGAAGUUUUGCUGAAGCUUUAUUUGAAUGCUGCUCAUUGUUAUUUAGAAUUAGUCGAAGUAAAGAAAGUACUCACUUAUGCAAGAAAGGCUUUAGCAAUUGACCCAAAGAAUACCAAGGCUCUUUACAGAAUGGGCAAGGCUUACAUGAAGCAGGGUGAAUUUGACAGCGCCAGAGACAAAUUCAAAAAAGCACAGUAUUAUGAACCCAGUAACAAGCCAGUAAAAGAUGCACUGGUUGAGCUUGACAAGAAAGUGAGUCAGUUUAAAGCACUUGAAAAGCAGACAUAUGCAAGGAUGUUUUCUGCUACCAAAAAAAGGAGACAAGAACGAUAAAACGGUGCCUACAUCUGUGGACCUCGCCGAGGAAAAGAGGGAAGUACUUGUCAAGCGGCUAAGGGAAUUUAAAGAGGACAAGAGUGCCAAAGAAAUAUGCUUUCCCGCAACCUUAACACAGCAAGAGAAAGCAUGUAUUAAACAAACAGCACAGG